GGUCCUGACUACCUCAGCUGGAAGAGCAUGGCAUUAACGUUGCCAGGGUUAGUGGUUCAUUUCCCACUGGGACCA